rnacentral:rRNA from 1 species
GAUGAAUGCUGGCGGCGUGCCUAACACAUGCAAGUCGAGCGGCAGCGCGGUCUUCGGACCGGCGGCGAGCGGCGGACGGCUGAGUAACGCGUGGGAACAUACCCCAAAGUGAGGGAUAACCGCCCGAAAGGGUGGCUAAUACCGCAUAUGGUCUUCGGAUUAAAGGAUUUAUCCGCUUUGGGAAUGGCCUGCGUACGAUUAGAUAGUUGGUGAGGUAAUGGCUAACCAAGUCGACGAUCGUUAACUGGUCUGAGAGGAUGAUCAGUCAGACUGGAACGGAGACACGGCCCAGACUCCUACGGGAGGCAGCAGUAGGGAAUCUUCCGCAAUGGACGAAAGUCUGACGGAGCAACGCCGCGUGAGUGAUGAAGGCUUUCGGGUCGUAAAACUCUGUUGUUAGGGAAGAACAAGUACGAGAGUAACUGCUCGUACCUUGACGGUACCUAACCAGAAAGCCACGGCUAACUACGUGCCAGCAGCCGCCGUAA